GCAAGAUUAAAACUCAAAGGAAUAGACGGGGACCCGCACAAGCGGUGGAGCAUGUGGUUUAAUUCGACGAUACGCGAAGAACCUUUCCUGGCCUUGACAUAGAAAGAACUUACUAGAGAUAGUUUGGUGCUAGCUUGCUAGAACUUUCAUACAGGUGCUGCACGGCUGUCGUCAGCUCGUGUCGUGAGAUGUUGGGUUAAGUCCCGCAACGAGCGCAACCCUCGUGUUUAGUUACUAACAGUUCGGCUGAGGACUCUAGACAGACUGCCUGGGUAACCAGGAGGAAGGUGAGGACGACGUCAAGUCAUCAUGGCCCUUACGGCCAGGGCUACACACGUGCUACAAUGGGGUAUACAAAGAGCCGCAAUACCGCGAGGUGGAGCAAAUCUCAUAAAAUAUCUCCCAGUUCGGAUUGAAGUCUGCAACUCGACUUCAUGAAGUUGGAAUCGCUAGUAAUCGUGAAUCAGCAAUGUCACGGUGAAUACGUUCCCGGGUCUGUACUCCCC
rnacentral:rRNA from 1 species